UACGGAAACCCAGUUCGUCAGACAGACGAAUAUGGUAACCCAGCCCGCCAUGGAGGUACCAUGGGUGAUUAUGGAACCACUGGCACUACUGGAGCCUAUGGUGGCACAGCUGGAGCACAUGGGACUUAUGCAACUGGAACCACCGGCACUACCGGUACCGGUGCGUAUGCCACCCAGCCUGGCACUGAUGUGGGGAAGGAGCACCAUGGCCUUGGUGGCAUGCUUCAUCGCUCUGGUAGCGGUAGCUCUAGCUCGGUAUGCCCUCCUAAUUAAUCUCGUCUUGCUUAAAUUGUACUGAGUUGUAGUAGCAUUUAACAAAUCUUGACCAGCUUGUGAUGACUGGUAAUUAAAAAGUUCUUAUCUGUUUUCUUUUUGUUUUUUCGGUUGGGAUGCAGUCCGAGGAUGAUGGGCAAGGCGGGAGGAGGAAGAAGGGGAUGAAGGAGAAGAUAAAGGAGAAACUGCCUGGCGGUCACAAGGAGGCUCGACCUGGACAAGAAUAUUCGAGUGCUACUACAGCUCCUGGAUACGGCGGGGAAGGAGAGCAGCACGAGAAGAAAGGAAUUAUGGAUAAAAUCAAGGAGAAAUUACCAGGGGGUCACAACAACUGAAGAUCUAAUUCUAAUAAUAUGGGAUCCAAUUAUGAUAUUGUGUACCCCUAUUUUCAAUCUCAAUCUCAAUCUCGUUCGUGUCAUGUUUGUGUUUUCUGAGAUUUGAGUGUGUGGACGU
rnacentral:lncRNA from 1 species